rnacentral:rRNA from 1 species
GACGAACGCUGGCGGCGUGCUUAACACAUGCAAGUCGAACGAAGUGGCGAACGGGUGAGUAACGCGUAAUCAACUUCCCUUCAGAGGGGGAUAACUAUUGGAAACGAUAGCUAAUACCGCAUACUAGUAGAUGGACCUGAGGUGUAUUAGAUCGUAGGUAGGGUAAAGGCCUACCGAGGCAACGAUACAUAGCCGACCUGAGAGGGGGAUCGGCAAAACGGGGACUGAGAAAAGGCCCAGACUCCUACGGGAGGCAGCAGUAGGGAAUGUUCGGCAAUGGGGGGAACCCUGACCGAGCAACGCCGCGUGAGGGAAGAAGGUGUUCGGAUCGUAAAGCUCUGUUGUGAAGGAAGCGGUACUUAACCAGAAAGGGACGGCUAACUACGUGCCAGCAGCAGCGGUAAUAC